rnacentral:rRNA from 1 species
CGGGUGAGUAAUGUAUGGGGAUCUGCCUGAUGGCGGGGGAUAACUACUGGAAACGGUAGCUAAUACCGCAUAAUGUCUACGGACCAAAGCGGGGGACCUCCGGGCCUCGCGCCAUCAGAUGAACCCAUAUGGGAUUAGCUAGUAGGCGAGGUAACGGCUUACCUAGGCGACGAUCCCUAGCUGGUCUGAGAGGAUGAUCAGCCACACUGGGACUGAGACACGGCCCAG